rnacentral:rRNA from 1 species
AUGUCCGAGCAGCGGGAUCGCCGCCGGCGCCAAACCCGUUACCCCCCUGCUGGUUCUUCAAGGGGUAAAAGAAUAAAGGCCUCGCCCUGCCAACAAGAUUGUGUUCCAGAUGGAUCAACUUAUGCAAAUGGCCAGGCAAAGACAGAGGCCUCACCCUGCCAACAAGGUGGUGCCAGUCAAACAGAGGAGUGUUCAGAGCUAAAUCUUCCAGAGAACGCUCCCCUCCCUGACGUCAAGAAAUGCGUGGACAGAAGUGGGCUGCUCCUGAACUUCUGUCGGGCUAGUGGCCUGCUCCUGAACUAUAGGCUAGACAUCUGGCAUCAUAUACAUUCCUUAAUGCCACUGAAAGAUGCUGCGAGAGCUGCCUGUGUGUCUCAGUCCUUCCUGUCUUCCUGGAGAUGCCAUUCCAACCUCAUUCUGAGUAGAGAAUCAUUUGGCUUGGAAGGCGAAAAGGAAACAGCUAGAGAUUUUAGAAGAAAAAUUGAUCAUAUUCUGAGAAACCACUCAGGAACUGGCGUGAGAAAACUCAGCCUUCGGUUGGUUCCAAAUUACAAUGCUAAGGACCGUGAUUAUAUCAACAAAUGGCUUGAGAAGGCAGUUACACCAGGGAUUGAAGAACUCACCCUUAGUCUGCCUAUAAACAACAAAUGCAAAUACGAGUUUCUGUGCACGGUUUUAUCAAAUGGGAGGGGAGACUCGCUUCGGUGUCUUUACCUUACCAAUUGUUCUUUUCAUCCUAUGGCUUUGCUUGGUUGUUUGAGAAGCUUGACAAAAUUAGAGCUGUUUAUGGUGCGUAUUCCAGGGGAUGAGUUAUGCUGCCUUCUUUCUAGUUCUUCAGCUUUAGAGUGGCUUUCACUUACGUAUUGCAGUAAGGUAAACUGCUUGAAGAUACCAUGUCACCUUCAGCGUCUAAGGCAUGUGAAGGUGGAAGAUUGCAGCAAGCUGCGAGUGAUAGAGAACAAAGCUCCAAAUCUCUCCAGCUUUCAGUUUAAAGGUGGCCUCAAGGUACAAGUCAAACUUGGAAAAGCAUUGCAAGUGAAGAGCUUAUACAUGAGCAGCACCGUAUUUGGUUGUAACACUCGAGCAGAGCUGGCGUCCAGCAUUCCAAGCAGGGAGAUGGUCAAUUCACCAAUGGUGUCUAGCAAACUCACCGACCUGAAAUCUAUGAUCAUCUGUCUUGGAGAAAUGUCCUUUUGCCUGAGCUUUGAUUGUCAGUCUAUCGUUUCUAUCCUUGGUGCUUCUCUUACAUUGGAGACUUUCAUCUCACAUGUAUCUGAUGAACUCAUGCAGCAUGCCUUAGUUUUUGGAGAUCCCUCAAGAUCGUGGAUGUUGGACACGAGUGGCGGCGUCGUGUCCCCAUUGAAUAAGAGUCUGAUUAAGCUAGCAUGUCAUGUCCUCAGGGCGUGGUUGACUUAA